UACGUAGGGGGCAAGCGUUGUCCGGAAUCAUUGGGCGUAAAGCGCGUGUAGGCGGCCCGGUAAGUCCGCUGUGAAAGUCGGGGGCUCAACCCUCGAAUGCCGGUGGAUACUGUCGGGCUAGAGUGCGGGAGAGGCGAGUGGAAUUCCUGGUGUAGCGGUGAAAUGCGCAGAUAUCAGGAGGAACACCAAUUGCGAAGGCAGCUCGCUGGAACGUAACUGACGCUGGAGAACGCGAAAGCGUGGGGAGCAAACAGG
rnacentral:rRNA from 1 species